rnacentral:rRNA from 1 species
UGCACAAGCGGUGGAGCAUGUGGUUUAAUUCGAUGCAACGCGAAGAACCUUACCUACCCUUGACAUCCAGAGAAGUUGGCAGAGAUGCCUUCGUGCCUUCGGGAGCUCUGAGACAGGUGCUGCAUGGCUGUCGUCAGCUCGUGUUGUGAAAUGUUGGGUUAAGUCCCGUAACGAGCGCAACCCUUGUCCUUAUUUGCCAGCGAGUCAUGUCGGGAACUCUAAGGAGACUGCCGGUGACAAACCGGAGGAAGGUGGGGACGACGUCAAGUCAUCAUGGCCCUUACGGGUAGGGCUACACACGUGCUACAAUGGCCGGUACAAAGGGUUGCGAGACCGCGAGGUGGAGCGAAUCCCAGAAAGCCGGCCUCAGUCCGGAUCGGAGUCUGCAACUCGACUCCGUGAAGUCGGAAUCGCUAGUAAUCGUGAAUCAAAAUGUCACGGUGAAUACUUUCCCGGG